AUUGAACGCUGGCGGCAUGCCUUUCACAUGCAAGUCGAACGGCAGCACGGGGCAACCUGGUGGCGAGUGGCGAACGGGUGAGUAAUGCAUCGGAACGUACCUUUCAGUGGGGGAUAACGUAGCGAAAGUUACGCUAAUACCGCAUAUUCUGUGAGCAGGAAAGCAGGGGAUCGCAAGACCUUGCGCUGAUUGAGCGGCCGAUGUCAGAUUAGCUAGUUGGUGAGGUAAAGGCUCACCAAGGCGACGAUCUGUAGCGGGUCUGAGAUGAUGAUCCGCCACACUGGAACGGAGACACGGUCCAGAGUCCUACGGGAGGCAGCAGUGGGUAAUUUUGGACAAUGGGGGCGACCCUGAUCCAGCCAUGCCGCGUGAGUGAAGAAGGCCUUCGGGUUGUAAAGCUCUUUCGGCCGGGAAGAAAUCGCACGGGCUAAUACCCUGUGUGGAUGACGGUACCGGAAUAAGAAGCACCGGCUAACUACGUGCCAGCCGCCGCGGUAAGAC
rnacentral:rRNA from 1 species